GCGCCCUUACCUCAGCCGGAUAGAGGGCCUGACUACGAAUCAGGACGUCGCAGGUUCGAAUCCUGCAGGGCGCGCCA
rnacentral:tRNA from 1 species